GCCUGGGUGGCUCAGUUGGUUGAGUGUCUGACUUUGGCUCAGGUCAUGAUCUCGCGGUUUGUGGGUUCGAGCCCUGCAUCGGGCU
rnacentral:tRNA from 1 species